rnacentral:piRNA from 1 species
CUGAUCAGCCUCCUUCUUUGCCUCCUGAUC